rnacentral:rRNA from 1 species
GUGGGGUAGGGGAGCGUUCUGUAAGCCGUUGAAGGUGGUCUGUAAGGGCUGCUGGAGGUAUCAGAAGUGCGAAUGCUGACAUGAGUAACGAUAAAGGGAGUGAAAAACUCCCUCGCCGGAAGACCAAGGGUUCCUGUCCAACGUUAAUCGGGGCAGGGUAAGUCGACUCCUAAGGCGAGGCCGAAAGGCGUAGUCGAUGGGAAACGGGUUAAUAUUCCCGUACUUCUUACAAUUGCGAUGGGGGGACGGAGAAGGCUAGGUGGGCCUGGCGACGGUUGUCCAGGUUCAAGUAUGUAGGCGGAAGGUUUAGGUAAAUCCGGACUUUC